rnacentral:rRNA from 1 species
UACGUAGGGAGCAAGCGUUGUCCGGAAUCAUUGGGCGUAAAGCGCGCGUAGGCGGCCCUGUAAGUCCGUUGUGAAAGUCAAAGGCUCAACCUUUGAAAGCCGAUGGAUACUGCAGGGCUGGAGUCCGGAAGAGGCGAGUGGAAUUCCUGGUGUAGCGGUGGAAUGCGCAGAUAUCAGGAGGAACACCAAUGGCGAAGGCAGCACUCUGGGACGUGACUGACGCUGAGACGCGAAAGCGUGGGGAGCAAACAGG